GACGAACGCUGGCGGCGUGCCUAACACAUGCAAGUCGAACGGAAAGGCCCUUUCGGGGGUGCUCGAGUGGCGAACGGGUGAGUAACACGUGGGUGAUCUGCCCUGAACUUUGGGAUAAGCCUGGGAAACUGGGUCUAAUACCGGAUAUGACCAGUGGGUGCAUGCUUGCUGGUGGAAAGCCUUUGUGCGGUUUGGGAUGGGCCCGCGGCCUAUCAGCUUGUUGGUGGGGUAAUGGCCUACCAAGGCGACGACGGGUAGCCGACCUGAGAGGGUGAUCGGCCACACUGGGACUGAGACACGGCCCAGACUCCUACGGGAGGUAGCAGUGGGGAAUAUUGCACAAUGGGCGCAGGCCUGAUGCAGCGACGCCGCGUGAGGGAUGACGGCCUU
rnacentral:rRNA from 1 species